ACACAGGAAAGGAGGUGAUCCGGCUGAUGAUCAAUCACCGGACGUGUGAGGUGGCUGCGGCCUGAGGCCGACGCCACUAGCGUGACGCCGGUUUCGCCGGCCAAUCCACAGCAGUCACCCGGCCCGUGGGCUCGUCGGACUCGUCCGACCGACGCCCUCCGCCCCGCGGAGGGAGUCGCUCACGGGCCGUUCUGC
rfam:Streptomyces sp. NRRL F-6602 F6602contig7.1, whole genome shotgun sequence.